rnacentral:misc_RNA from 1 species
GUGAAUCAUCAAAUUUUUGAACGCAAAUUGCACUCUCUGGUAUUCCGGAGAGUAUGCCUGUUUGAGGGUCAGUUUAAAUAAAAAUCGGUGUGGUUGCUGCCUUUCGUGGUGACGCACCGGAUUUGGGUCGUCUUGCCUUCGGUUAAGGGUCCUAAAAUUUGGCAUGAUUUUUUUGGAACGUAUUUAAAUGUUUUUACGUACGUUGGCGAUUCCGAAUCUUGG